AGGAUUAACGCUGGCGGCGUGCCUAACACAUGCAAGUCGAACGAGGUAGCAAUACCUAGUGGCAGACGGGUGAGUAACGCGUGGUCAACCUACCGUUGAGUGGGGGAUAACUAGCCGAAAGGUUAGCUAAUACCGCAUACGUCUCCGAGGGGCAUCCCUUGGCGAUAAAAGGAGCAAUCCGCUCGAUGACGGGACCGCGUCCCAUUAGCUAGAUGGUGGGGUAACGGCCUACCAUGGCACCGAUGGGUAGCUGGUUUGAGAGAGCGACCAGCCACACUGGGACUGAGAAACGGCCCAGACUCCUACGGGAGGCAGCAGUGAGGAAUUUUCCGCAAUGGGCGCAAGCCUGACGGAGCGACGCCGCGUGUGGGAAGAAGGCCUUCGGGUCGUAAACCACUGUCGAAGGGGACGAUAAUGACGGUACCCUUGGAGGAAGCCCGGCUAACUACGUGCCAGCAGCCGC
rnacentral:rRNA from 1 species